ACAUCAGCCUGGAAAGGAAGGGGAGUGGAAUUAAGUUUCUCCACCCUAGACUACGAUUCCCAGCAGUCCAUGGGGCCAGCCCUCCCUGCCCUGGCACCUGCUGGAGGAGAGGCUUUGUUCAGCAGAGAAAGGGAAAGCAAAGCAAGGCAAAGGAAGUUUCUGCUGUUCCUGGAGGGAUCUAUCUGCUAGCUGGUGCUGCUCACUGCUCAGAAGAGGAGAGCAAAGAGAGAAGUUCAAAUUGUAUGAAGUCUCGAUUCUGGGGAAAGACUGGAGCAGUAAUACAAUCGCUAAUGCAAAUGUGGACCAUUUUUAGCCCAACUGCCUUUCCAAGAACCAUGAUUUCCAUGUGUGCCAUGAUGCAUCAGUCAGGUGUGGAGUAGACCUCUGUGUCAUCCUCUACUACCCAGCCUUGGUGCUGCGUUCCAGUUCUACAUGGUAGCUAUAUCCCCCCUGUGACACCAGCCAAACUGGACACAUC